CCAAAUUUUACCUCCAGCCGCGCGUGUUCUACCUCCAGACACGCGCGUUUCAGUUGCGAGACAUUCUCGCGAUACCUGCGCGAGACCAUUUGGCAUGGCGUGCACACAUCAAUGAUUUUCAUGUUCGGGCGAAUGGAUCGAAAAUUGUCGUUAAUUUUAGGGUUUUAAGCUAUAUUUUUGUAUUCAAAGUGUAUUUAAAACAUAUCUUGAACCCUACCGAGUCAAACUGCGAGGAAAAAAGUGACCGAUGGGAAGAAAAUGAACACUGCAUCGAAGAAGUUUGGAGACAAGUCAGACAACGAGUCCAUAUUUGAAUGAUUGGAACGUUUACAUGAAACUUGAGAUGAAAGAUAAGUAAUUCUUUAUUUUAACGUAUUAACAUAACAACUUCAUUGAUUGUUGAACAAUAUAAGUUUAUUUAGUCUGUGUCUAUCACUUUGUUUGCCUUUGUUGACGACUUGUUCUAUGUAUUUUUUGCCGAAUGUGAAUAAUCGCAACGUGAAAUACUUGUCCGCCGAGGGGCACUUCACUCCAAAAAAGCGUACGGGAUUUUCGGAUUUUUAAAAAUCCGCGGAUUUUUUAGCGGAUUUUCCCCGGAUAUUUUAGCGGAUUUUUGAAGAGAAAAUCUGUUGGAUUUUCCAGAUUUGUUGGGAUUUUCCGGAUUUAUUCGGAUUUUUUCUGGAUUUUUGAAAAUCUGUUGGAUUUUCCGGAUUGUUUGGAUUUUCCGGAUUUGUUCGGAUUUUUUCAGGAUUUUUUUUAAAUUAUAGAGUUAUAGAUCUAGGUAACGUUUUGAACAAAUAAUCUUAAGUUGUACGACGUCUACAACGUCAACGUUAUGCCAGGACGUCAGGGUCGAGCGGAGGACUGGGACUAGAACCACAGCCUUCAGAAACUAACGAAGGCUGGGCAUGCAGUCAUUUUGUUUAAAAUUCAAACAAGUUCAUUAUUCUUUCAAAAACAGUAAAAGACAAUGAUGAAU